CGGAUCUUCACGUGGUUUUACAACCAAUUC
rnacentral:sRNA from 1 species